CCCCUGAGAGAAGAUCAGGUUGAUAGGUUGGAAGUGGAAGUGCAGCGAUGUAUGGAGCGGACCAAUACUAAUAGGUCGAGGACUUAACCAA
rnacentral:rRNA from 1 species